rnacentral:rRNA from 1 species
GUGUCAGCCGCCGCGGUAAUACGGAGGGAGCGAACGUUGUUCGGAUUUACUGGGCGUAAAGGGUGUGUAGGCGGUCUUGCAAGUCAGGGGUGAAAUCUCUCGGCUCAACCGAGAAACUGCCUUUGAGACUGCAGGACUUGAGGGCGUGAGAGGAGACUGGAAUUCCUAGUGUAGCGGUGAAAUGCAUAGAUAUUAGGAGGAACACCAGUGGCGAAGGCGAGUCUCUGGCACGCAUCUGACGCUGAAACACGAAAGCCAGGGGAGCGAACGGGAUUAGAUACCCUCGUAGUCC